AUGGCCUCUCAACAGGAACUCUUAUCCCGUAUGUCUAGAAUUAGAAUCUCACAAAAAGCAAGGUCCUCACACCUCAUCAGAUAUGGAGAGGUUAGAGUACUGGCCAGAAAGUCAGCAUUUUGUAUGGAUAAGGAGCAUCUGAAAGAGGGUAGGGAUUCCAGGCAAAGUGGGUAUCAAGAGAUCUGCUAUGUGGCAGCUUGUAACUUGCUAGUGAAAAGAAAGGAACAAUGCUACACAUGGCAUACUCAAGAUGAAGUGAUGACAAACUUUGUAGAAUGGAUGUUCAUAUAUAGAGAUGAAGGGAUCUUAUCAAGAACAAUUCCACUAUCUGAAUCUGCAGCUCGUGGAACUCUUCAGAUGGAAACUAGCGAUGAAGCGCUGUUGAAGGCAUUGGAGCAGGGCAUCCUCAUUGCCUGCAACAGUUCAGCAAAAGUUCCGGAUGAACAACAAACCCACAGUUUGGUCUCUAACGAGUAUGAACUACCCCCAAUCGAAACGGCAAUUCAUUGACAAGCUAAAG
rnacentral:lncRNA from 1 species